rnacentral:rRNA from 1 species
GUUAAGGGCGCACGGUGAAUGUCUUGGCGUCGAGAGGCGAUGAAGGACGCGGGAACCUGCGAUAAGCCCAAGGGAGCCGGUAACCAGGCUGCGAUCUUGGGAUCUCCGAAUGGGGCAACCCACUCGAAAGAGUACUUCACUCUGAAUGCAUAGGGGUGAAGAGCGAACCUAGGGAAGUGAAACAUCUCAGUACCUAGAGGAAAGGAAAGCAAAACGCGACUCCGUGAGUAGCGGCGAGCGAAAGCGGAUAAGCCAGCGGAAGCACGAACAGGUUGAAUGCCUGGCCGAAGAAGGUGAAAGCCCUGUAGUCGAAAGCUGGUGAGGCCUAGAGUAAACUCGGGCUCGGGAAACCCGGGUUGAAUAUGGGGGGUCCACCCUCCAAGCCUAAGUACUCCUCGACGACCGAUAGUGAACAAGUAAGGCGACUGAACGAUGAAAACCACCGCGACGAGCGGGGUGAAAAGAGCUGAAACCGUGCGCUUACAAGCGGUCGGAGUCCUACGGGAUGACGGCGUGCUUUUUGCAUAAUGAGCCGG